rnacentral:rRNA from 1 species
GACGAACGCUGGCGGCGUGCUUAACACAUGCAAGUCGAACGGAAAGGCCCUGCUUUUGUGGGGUGCUCGAGUGGCGAACGGGUGAGUAACACGUGAGUAACCUGCCCUUGACUUUGGGAUAACUUCAGGAAACUGGGGCUAAUACCGGAUAGGAGCUCCUGCUGCAUGGUGGGGGUUGGAAAGUUUCGGCGGUUGGGGAUGGACUCGCGGCUUAUCAGCUUGUUGGUGGGGUAGUGGCUUACCAAGGCUUUGACGGGUAGCCGGCCUGAGAGGGUGACCGGCCACAUGGGGCCUGAGAUACGGCCCAGACUCCUACGGGAGGCAGCAGUGGGGACUAUUGCACAAUGGGCGGAGGCCUGAUGCAGCAACGCCGCGUGCGGGAUGACGGCCUUCGGGUUGUAAACCGCUUUCGCCUGUGACGAAGCGUGAGUGACGGUAAUGGGUAAAGAAGCACCGGCUAACUACGU